ensembl:lncRNA
CAGGGUCUUGCUAUAUAUUCAAGGUUGGUCUUGAACACACUGUAGUCCAGGCUGACCUCGAACUUGCAUCAAUCCUCAUGCCUCAGUCUCCUGAGUGCUGGGUCUACAGGUGUGCGCCACCACAGCCAGCUAUAUUUUAAAUUCUGAGACAAGGUCUUACUAAGUUGUCCAAGCUGGCCUUGAUCUUGCCCUCCUACCUCAGCCUCCAGAGUAGCUGUAAUUACAAGUGUGUGCUACAUGCCUAUACAAUUAGUUUCUUACAGAUUGUAAAUUGGGACAUGUUGGAGUUGCUGGUUGAGGAUGUAGGACAUUUAGAGACUUUACAAAAGUGUUCAUAAUUAGACUUUACUUUUUUCUAUUUUCCCUAUAUAGCCUUUGCCACCGUUUUACAACCUUAUUAUCUUUAUUUUUUGGUACCAGGGAUUGAACUCGGGUCCUUGCUCUUGCGAAGCAGGCGGUGAAACCACUGAGCUAAAUCCCCAGCCCUUAUUAUCUUAUUUUAGAGGUACCCUAUUGAGAAUAGUGGGCUGCUGUACUUAGCUCAAAGAGACCAGAGAAUAAAGAGUAGCCAAACUACAUAUCCUGCUACUCAUAUUCAGUCCCAGGUGGAGCCCCUGAAGCAAGCAUAAGGGAAAAAAGGCAUUAAGAAUGAGCUAAAUGGGCCGGGGAUUUAGCUCAAUGGUUCGGCCACCUGCCUUGCAAGCUCAAGGUCCCGAGUUCAAUCCCCGGUACCAAAAAAAAAAGCAAAACCCAAGAAUGAGAUAAAUGUCUUAUGUAUGAGCAUACACUAAAACAGUAGGUCCUGAGUCCGAUCCCCAGUAUGAAAAAAAACCAACUCACCCUUGUUUUGAACACAUACAAUCUUGCUUUCUGAAACAGUCCCGGAAAUCCCUUUCUCCUGAGUGUAUUUAGUUGCACUCUUGUGGCUGCAUUAAUGUCCCAAAUUGAAUUAAAACAUUUACUUUUCGUGGUCAUUUUGACUUCAAAGAGCCAGAAGUUACAUAGUGCCACAUGGCCACAUGUAAUGAAUAAGGUGGCUGAAUGAAACACUUAUGUUUUUAUUUGACAGAAAUUGCUAUACCAGAAGUGAUACAUGACAGCAUUAUGAUGGAGAAUGAACUGUUGGCCCAUUUCUCAGGCUGUUUUCUAUACACACAUUUUUGGGUUUUUUUCAGUACUGGGGAUCAAACUCAGGACCUUGCACUUGUGAGGUAGACACAGUGCCACUGAGCUAAAUCCCCAGCCCCAACACACAUCAUUUUUUAAAAUUAAGCCCUUACAACAAACAUUCAGAGUUCACCAUAGUGUUCCUGGGCACAAACUUACUUUGCACAAUUCAUUGUCAAAAAAGAUCAGGCCAGGGGCUGGGGAUUUAGCUCAGUGGUUUCGCUGCCUGCUGCGCAAGCGCAAGGACCCAAGUUCGAUCCCCGGUACCAAAAAAAAAAAAGAUCAGGCUGGAGGGUAUAGCCUAGUAAGUUGCUGGCAUGACCUGUGUUAAGGACUUGGGUGCAAACCCAGUAUACCACCAUCACUGAAAAAAAAAAAUUGUUUUACACAUGAGAAUUGGGUAAUUUCCAUUGAGGAGGACUCAACCUUGGUCUUAGGAUCAUAACCACAGACUCAAAUAUCAUUGUUCAUGAUCACAUUUCUUAACCCAUUUAUGCCUAGUGUUCCAAGUUUGGAGUGCCACAAACAAUGGAACAUAAUAAAAGUUUUUCUCUUCAAGUUUUUGUUCCUUGAAUUUUUCUGGUUAACAAUUUAAUGCAAAAAAAUUUUUAAAUUGUAAUCUUUGGGAUAAAUUGAUUAAAACUGCAAUUUGAAGCUGCAGAAUUGUGCAACUCUUGAAAUUCCCAAAUUGCUUUGUUCUAGUCACAACUUGUAUUAAAUUUAGCACUGUCCUCAUGUUCAAAUCUGUUGGAAUGCUUUGAGAAAAACCAUAGUUAAAACUUGCCACACAUUGUUAGAAAAGUUCAGUGCACUGUUUUUCCUAUUGAAGGUCCUUUCUAUUGGGUGGUACUUGGAAGCAGCAUUCACUAUUUUUUGAACACAUCUCUAAUUUCAGUGUUAGCAAAAUCAUCUGUGACCCAUUUAUCAGUGUCUGCAGUGAAUUCCAGCUUUGAUCCUUGGGCUUUUAUCAUUUGCAAUAGUAUUUUAUACUUUGGCUCAUAGUAAAAGAUUACAGGUCAGUUUAUAAUGCUUUUGGUGAUAGUACUGUAGUUUCUGUUGGAGGAUAGGUAAAGUUACCUAAAUAAAAAAAGACCAACAAGCUAGAGAAGACUAUUAUAUUAUAAACAUAAGGGUUAAGUUAACCAAGAUACAUCAUGUAAAGGUACAGGAUCCCAAUGAUGAAUGUAACUGUAUUGUAUACCUAAAAUGUACCAAUAAACUUAAUGGAAAACAACAAAAA